rnacentral:rRNA from 1 species
UACGUAGGGUGCAAGCGUUGUCCGGAAUUAUUGGGCGUAAAGGGCUCGUAGGCGGUCCAUCGCGUCGGGAGUGAAAAGCUGGGGCUUAACCCCAGUCCUGCUUCCGAUACGGGUGGACUAGAGGUAGGUAGGGGAGAACGGAAUUCCUGGUGUAGCGGUGAAAUGCGCAGAUAUCAGGAGGAACACCAAUGGCGAAGGCAGCACUCUGGGACGUGACUGACGCUGAGACGCGAAAGCGUGGGGAGCGAACAGG